UAGCUCCACAGGGCCGGCCGCCUUUUCGCCCGCGCACACCUGCGACCGGAAGAGAUCCCUGUGACUGUGAGUCGUGACCGCCACUCGCCGCCCACCCGCCCUUUCCUUGAGCCAGGGCCAGAUUGCGAAUGGUGAUUGGAUGUUCGUGGUUUGCUGGUGGCUUUCUGCUUGAAUGAUCCGGAUACACAGACUCUUUCCAUUUUGUGAUCUGCUGUGACCUUGGGCUUCGGAGUCCUCUGCACAUAGCUGAUAAAAACAAAAAGAAAGAGUGGAGAAUUCUGCCUCUUAAAAAUGCAGAGGAAUCCCGAAGACCAUGGAAGAUGUGUGUCUGUAUGUGUUUAGGAGGAAGGAAGGAAGGAAGGAAGGAUGCGGGCUACAGGGCAGAAGACAAAGACAUGGAAAAGGAAUUGAAAGAAAACCCAGGCAUCCUUUAGAUACUCUGUCUUUAUGGAGCCAGAUUUUGGGACAACAAGAUCUCUACCUCUUCAUUGUCUGUGAGUGUUUUCCAUAACUAAUCAUUCUUCUUUAUGUUGGGGGCCAAAGAGGUCAUAUGUGAUCACAGUUCACAGGAUGUGUGUUUGGAAACCAGGAGGAGAGAUCUCAGUGGCAGAAUAGAGUUUAGUAUGUGAAAAUGUGUUUGGCUGCAAGUAAAGAAACCCUGAAACCCUGACUUAUAACAGCAUAUUUUUCUGACAUAAAAAGUAAGUGAAAGACAAAUAUUGUAUGAUAUCACUGCUAUG